GACGAACGCUGGCGGCGUGCUUAAUACAUGCAAGUCGAACGGACAGACCCUGAUUUUGCUGGUUUCUCGAUUGGCGAACGCGUGAGUAACACGUGUGUAUCCUGUCCUUAACUUUGUGAUAACUUCAGGAAACUCGGGCUAUUACCCGAUAGGAUCUCCUGCUGCAUGGUGUUGGUUGGAAAAUUUCGGCGGUUGUGGAUGGACUCGCGGCUUAUCAGCUUGUUUGUGGAGUAGUGGCUUACCAAGGCUUUGACGGGUAGGCCGCAUGAGAAGGUGAACGGGCACAUUAGGACUGCGGUACGGAGCAGAAUCCAACGGGAGGCAGCAGGGGGGAAUAUUGCACAAUGGGCGGAAGCGUGAUGCAGAAAUGCCGCGUGCGGGAUGAUGGCUUUCGAGGUGUAAACAGAUUUCGACUGUGCCGAAGAGUGAGUGACGGUAAUGGGUAAAAAAGCACCGGCUAACUACGUG
rnacentral:rRNA from 1 species